rnacentral:misc_RNA from 1 species
GUACGAUGCGGGCACCUGAAAGGCUUGGGAAUUCAUCAUCAGCAAACUGCUGAGAGAACUUCCAAGGUAUCUGAUCUCCAAAGGGCUGGCGACCUUGGAGCAAAGCUGUUCUAGCAGACUCCUGAGAAAUUUGACCCUCCAGGCAGACCUGGAUGACACAGAGAAUAUCAGGAAGACAAUUUUUUGUCUUGUCAACAACAGGGCCUAGUAGCACAAACAAGUGGUGAGCUGGAGCAUCAGCCAUCAACUGUAAAUCAUUUGGAGAAUUUUUGUAAUGAGAAGCAACAUAGAGGGCCAUCAUUCGCUGCAAAAAUAACUCACUGUCUUUAUGAUAAGAGAAAAGUGUGUCCCGGUUAACAUAGUACAGAUCACAAUGACCGGGUUGGGGUAACCGGCUGAUACUUGGGAUACUAUUUGUAACAUCCAAACAGAGCAAAGCAUUAAGCCAUUGUUCAAUGCGAUCACCAGAAGCAUAUCUAAUGGAUUCACUCAAUUCUAUCUUUUUGAAAAGCCGACCUGAAAUUGCACUAUCUGCACUUUUGGACUUCUGACUUUGCUCCUCUAGUUGUUGUAGCAACUUCAAUGACAAGGAUCUCCCGGUGCCUUCAUAGCCAUUCACAGUUGAUGCAAGGAAGACGAGGUAAGGACCAAGCAAAGAUUUGACCACAGGUAAUGGAAUAGCUGCUGCUUCAUCA